rnacentral:rRNA from 1 species
GUCCUUUAGAAUUAGAAUUUAAGGUCUAACCUGCCCACUGAAUUAUUAAAUGGCCGCAGUAAUUUGACUGUGCAAAGGUAGCAUAAUCAUUAGUUUUUUAAUUAAAAGCUUGUAUGAAUGGUUGGACGAAAUAAAUACUGUCUUUAAAUAAUAAGUAGAAUUUAAUUUUUGAGUUAAAAAGCUUAAAUAUUUAUUAAAGACGAGAAGACCCUAUAGAUCUUUAUAUUAUUUUAUAUAUGUUUAAUUAUGAUUAUUUUAUUAUUUAUAUUUAGUAAUAUUUUAUUGGGGUAAUAAAAAGAUUAGAUUAAUUCUUUAUUUAUAAAAAUAUUAAUUAAUAGAUUUUUGAUCCUUUAUUAGAGAUUGUAAGAUUAAGUUACCUUAGGGAUAACAGCGUAAUUUUUUUAAAGAGUUCAUAUCGAUAAAAAAGUUUGCGACCUCGAUGUUGGAUUAAAAAUUAUUUUAGGUGUAGUAGUUUAGAAUUUUGGUCUGUUCGACCAUUGAAUUUUUACAUGAUCUGAGUUCAGACCGGCGUAAGCCAGGUCGGUUUCUAUCUUUAUUUAAUUAAUAUAUUUUAGUACGAAAGGACCAAAUAUAAAUUAUAGUUAUAAUUUAAAUUUUGAAUUAUA